GCGCCACUGACGUCACCAGCACGCGCCUCGGGCUCUGCAGUCUGCCAGCGAGGGAGUUAGGCGCGUCCAGAUUCUCCUCGAGCCUCCUGCCCGCCCAGUGGCCGCAGUCACCCAGGUCCAGAUGCCGCGGUGUCACAGACUCUGCGACAUGUCGAUGCUGGCUGAGCCUCAGUGAAAGGAGAAGUGGGCUGUGGAUCCUCAGAACACUGCCUGGAGUAAUGAUGAUUCCAAGUUUGGCCAGAGGAUGCUAGAGAAGAUGGGGUGGUCUAAAGGAAAGGGUUUAGGGGCUCAGGAGCAAGGAGCCACAGAUCAUAUAAAAGUUCAAGUGAAAAAUAACCACCUGGGACUCGGAGCCACCAUCAAUAACGAAGACAACUGGAUUGCACAUCAGGAUGAUUUUAACCAGCUUCUGGCCGAACUGAACACUUGCCGUGGGCAGGAAACCGCAGACCCCUCAGACAAGAAGGAAAAGAAAUCUUUUAGCCUUGAGGAAAAUUCCAAAAUCUCCAAAAACCAUGUUCACUAUAUGAAAUUCACAAAAGGGAAGGAUAUAUCAUCUCGGAGCAAAACAGAUCUUGACUGCAUUUUUGGGAAAAGACAGUAAGAAGACUCUUGAGGGCGAUGACAGUUCCUCCACUCCAGACGAGAACGAAAGCACAACAACCGGUGCCUUCACCAUCCAGGAGUACUUUGCCCAGCGGAAGGCAGCACUGAAGAACAAGCCCCAGGUCCCAGAUCCAGGCUUGACCUUCCCAACACGCAGGUGGAUAGAAAAAAGAUGAAGAAAAGAAAGAAAGAGGCAGCAGGUAAGGAUGUGAAGAGCUCCCCAAAGCCUAAGGCCAAGAGGCAUACGGAGGAAAAUCCCAAGAGGGACAGGGCCCAGGAGCAGGGGGCCAAGAAGAGUGCGGGGGAGCAGCUCAGAGGCCUCUGCUCAGGAUGCUGGGGACUGUGCGACUUCACCCUGAAGCCCAAAAAGAGGAGAGGGAAGAAAAAGCUGCGAAAGCCGGUAGAGAUAGCAGAGGAGGCUACGCCAGAAGAAACGCCAGUGAAAAGGAAGAAGAAGAAAGAUUUCAAAUGAAUCUCCCCAGCCGUGCCCUUCUAACCACUCAGCUGUCAAGCUGCUGCCAGGGCAGACACUCUGGCCUGAAGUCAGAGCAGAGUCCACCCCAGAGAGCCUGGGCGCAUCUUGUGACAUGCCCAUGGGCGGCCGAGUCCCGCCCUCUCGCCACAUUUCCCCCAAGUUAGGUUCCCAGGAGGACCUUUUUAAUGUUCUAAAUCAUGGCUCUCAGAAACAAAUAAAUUUGUUUAUAAACUCUGAAAAAA